rnacentral:rRNA from 1 species
AUUGAACGCUGGCGGCAGGCCUAACACAUGCAAGUCGAGCGGAUGAAGGAAGCUUGCUUCCCGAUUCAGCGGCGGACGGGUGAGUAAUGCCUAGGAAUCUGCCUAUUAGUGGGGGAUAACUCGGGGAAACUCGGGCUAAUACCGCAUACGUCCUACGGGAGAAAGUGGGGGAUCUUCGGACCUCACGCUAAUAGAUGAGCCUAGGUCGGAUUAGCUAGUUGGUGAGGUAACGGCUCACCAAGGCGACGAUCCGAAGCUGGUCUGAGAGGAUGAUCAGCCACACUGGAACUGAGACACGGUCCAGACUCCUACGGGAGGCAGCAGUGGGGAAUAUUGGACAAUGGGCGAAAGCCUGAUCCAGCCAUGCCGCGUGUGUGAAGAAGGUCUUCGGAUUGUAAAGCACUUUAAGUUGGGAGGAAGGUCUGUAAGCUAAUAUCUUGCAGUCUUGACGUUACCAACAGAAUAAGCACCGGCUAACUCUGUGCCAGCAGCCGCGGUAA